rnacentral:misc_RNA from 1 species
GAUGAAGAACGCAGCGAAAUGCGAUAAGUAAUGUGAGUUGCAGAAUUCAGUGAAUCAUCGAAUCUUUGAACGCACAUUGCGCCCGCUAGUAUUCUGGCGGGCAUGCCUGUCCGAGCGUCAUUUCAACCCUCAAGCCCCCGGGCUUGGUGUUGGGGAUCGGCGAGCCUCCGCGCCCGCCGUCCCCUAAAUCUAGUGGCGGUCUCGCUGUAGCUUCCUCUGCGUAGUAGCACACCUCGCACUGGGAAACAGCGCGGCCACGCCGUUAAACCCCCAACUUCUGAACGUUUGACCUCGGAUCAGGUAGGAAUACCCGCUGAACUUAAGCAUAUCAAUAAGCGGAGGA